GGGCGAGUGGCGGAAUUGGCAGACGCGCUAGGUUCAGGGUCUAGUGAGUGUAAGCUCAUGGGGGUUCAAGUCCCCCCUCGCCCACCA
rnacentral:tRNA from 1 species